UUCCGUAGGUGAACCUGCGGAAGGAUCAUUACCGAGUGCGGGCCCUCGCGGCCCAACCUCCCACCCUUGUCUCUAUACACCUGUUGCUUUGGCGGGCCCACCGGGGCCACCUGGUCGCCGGGGGACGUACGUCCCCGGGCCCGCGCCCGCCGAAGCGCUCUGUGAACCCUGUAACAAGUUCAAACCUCAGUAUUAUGAAAAUUGUCAAAACUUUCAACAAUGGAUCUCUUGGUUCCGGCAUCGAUGAAGAACGCAGCGAAAUGCGAUAAGUAAUGUGAAUUGCAGAAUUCCGUGAAUCAUCGAAUCUUUGAACGCACAUUGCGCCCCCUGGCAUAAAAGCUCCGGCUGUGAUCGUGCGUCGACAUGAGGCAGAUAACAACGGACGACAAAAAACCACUCCUACCAGUACAGCGUGGUCCCCCCGGGGACCUGCCCGAAAGGCAGCGGCGACGUCCGUCUGGUCCUCGAGCGUAUGGGGCUUUAGUAAUCAAGUUCUCUUAAUAACAAACAGUGACAUCUGAUGAGUCACCACCAUAUUUUACACACAGGAUGCACAUAAAAUAAUAAUCGAUAUCAUUGGACGACUCCCA
rnacentral:rRNA from 1 species